AACGAACGCUGGCGGCGUGCCUAACACAUGCAAGUCGAACGAGACCUUCGGGUCUAGUGGCGCACGGGUGCGUAACGCGUGGGAACCUGCCCUUAGGUUCGGAAUAACUCCCCGAAAGGGGUGCUAAUACCGGAUAAUGUCUUCGGACCAAAGAUUUAUCGCCUUUGGAUGGGCCCGCGUUGGAUUAGCUAGUUGGUAGGGUAAAAGCCUACCAAGGCGACGAUCCAUAGCUGGUCUGAGAGGAUGAUCAGCCACACUGGGACUGAGACACGGCCCAGAAUCCUACGGGAGGCAGCAGUGGGGAAUAUUGGACAAUGGGCGAAAGCCUGAUCCAGCAAUGCCGCGUGAGUGAUGAAGGCCUUAGGGUUGUAAAGCUCUUUUACCCGGGAUGAUAAUGACAGUACCGGGAGAAUAAGCUCCGGCUAACUCCGUG
rnacentral:rRNA from 1 species